rnacentral:rRNA from 1 species
ACUCCUACGGGAGGCAGCAGUGGGGAAUAUUGCACAAUGGGCGCAAGCCUGAUGCAGCAACGCCGCGUGAGUGAUGAAGGCCUUCGGUCGUAAAGCUCUGUCCUCAAGGAAGAAUAAAUGACGGUACUUGAGGAGGAAGCCCGGCUAACUACGUGCCAGCAGCCGCGGUAAUACGUAGGGGGCAAGGCGUUAUCCGGGAAUCACUGGGGCGUAAAGGGGUGCGUAGGCGGUUUUUCAAGUCAGAAGUGAAAGGCUAUGGCUCAACCAUAGUAAGCUUUUGAAACUGUUAAACUUGAGUGCAGGAGAGGAAAGUGGAAUUCCUAGUGUAGAGGUGAAAUUCGUAGAUAUUAGGAGGAACACCAGUGGCGAAGGCGACUUUCUGGACUGUAACUGACGCUGAGGCACGAAAGCGUGGGGAGCGAACAGGAUUAGAUACCCUGGUAGCACAGAG